rnacentral:misc_RNA from 1 species
UUUCCGUAGGUGAACCUGCGGAAGGAUCAUUAAAGUUAUAGUCCCCUGGCCCUCUGGGUUGGGGUCUUCUAUACCACCCUUUGUUUAUUACACCUUUGUUGCUUUGGCAGGCCUGCCCUAGGGCUGCUGGCUCCGGCCGGCUCGCGUCUGCCAGAGGACCUAAACUCUGUUUGUAUAUGAAGUCUGAGUACUAUAUAAUAGUUAACACUUUCAACAACGGAUCUCUUGGUUCUG